AAAACUAAUAGAAAAAAGCAAAAUUAAAAGCAAAUAUCAUAAGCUAUAGGUAAGUAAAUGAAUGUUAAACAGUUUAAAGUGAAAAAGCAUGGAAAUAGAAGCUGAAGGUUUUCUAAAACAUAAUUUGGUGACAUGUACAAGCACAAACCUGUCAACUAAACAUUAUGGAGGGAUCAUGUUACUAGAAUUUUGACCUAGAGGAAGAAAACAAUCUUAAACACACUCUAGUGUGUGUCUGCAGAUCUGGGUGUGCUGUCAUACAACCUUUUGAAGGUCGUCACGAAACCUCGCGCGCCUAUAAGUCACACGCGCUAGUAGCUACCAACAGUCACUCCUCACUGCGACCCUCAACACAGACAAUAUAACGGUAAGUAAUAUAAGCGUUUAUAAGUAUCUCAACAUGGCGGACAUGGAUAUGUUAGCAGAUCAUUUGCCCGACUCUCACUGGCAGCGUAGUAAAGGCGAGGAAAGCGACUUCAAGUCCUACAGGCUAGCGCGGCAUGUCGAUAAAGGUUCCGGUGCGUUUCUGUAUUUAGCACAGCAACUUGAGGGAGAUGACAACAUCUAUCAACUGAACAUCACCGAUACGAAAGGAGGAGACCCUUUAAGGGAUCUAAAUAUCGCACAACUCAAAGUCAAGGAUGGCAACACAAUCAUAGGAAUCUUAUGCGAUAACGGUGAAUGUAUGCUCAGAAAGGAAUGAUCGGAACCGUGCUACAUUGGACUGGGAUUUGGAUUGUAUGGUUAUGCAGAUAAAUUAAUGGUACACUGAAAAGAGAGACGCGUAGGAUUUAGGGAUUAUCUCAUCGUACUGAACUGGAGAAAGAACGCUAGUUUGUUUUUGGGCGCAAAAAUGGGGAAGCCACUGCUGGAAAAUGGAAGCCAUUUGAAGGAUGAAAGCCAUUUAAGUAUUGGAAAGCAAUCAACAUCGUGCGGCACUUAUUGUUCUUAGCUCCUUGUAUCCAAUCAGCAGCGGUUAUGAAGUGGGUAGCCACGGAAUGCCUAGACCAGCGAAUGGGCCUCCGCAUUCUUACGCCGAGGGAUUAUAUCUCUUCUAAUGACUGGUAAAUACUACCGAGUGCACGAGAGCCUUUUUAAAGGUGUAACUUUCCAGCGUGUGUCUUAUCUUAGUAAUCAAGUAGCUUAUACGAUAAAAAUAAAAGUCAAUAAAAACCCAGAAACCCGCGUUUAGAUGGCAA